UACGUAGGGUGCGAGCGUUGUCCGGAAUUAUUGGGCGUAAAGAGCUCGUAGGCGGUGUGUCACGUCGUUCGUGAAAACCUGCAGCUUAACUGUGGGCGUGCGGUCGAUACGGGCAUCACUGGAGUUCGGCAGGGGAGACUGGAAUUCCUGGUGUAGCGGUGAAAUGCGCAGAUAUCGCUUGGAACGCCGACGGUGAAAACAGUCUGCUGGGGGUGUGCUGACGCUGAGACACGAAAGCCAGGGGAGCGAACGGG
rnacentral:rRNA from 1 species